rnacentral:rRNA from 1 species
AGCGAACGCUGGCGGUAGGCCUAACACAUGCAAGUCGAACGGCAGCACAGUAAGAGCUUGCUCUUACGGGUGGCGAGUGGCGGACGGGUGAGGAAUACCUCGGAAUCUACUUUUUCGUGGGGGAUAACGUAGGGAAACUUACGCUAAUACAGCAUACGACCUACGGGUGAAAGCAGGCUAUCUUCGGACCUUGCGCGAUUGAAUGAGCCGAUGUCGGAUUAGCUAGUUGGCGGGGUAAAGGCCCACCAAGGCGGCGAUGCGUAGCCGGUCUGAGAGGAUGAUCAGCCACACUGGAACUGAGACUGAGUCCAGACUCAGACGGGAGGAAGCGGCGGGGAAUGUUGGACGAUGAGCGCAAGCCUGAUCCAGCCAUACCGCGUGGGUGAAGAAGGCGUUCGGGUUGUAAAGCCAUUUUGUUGGGAAAGAAAAGCAGCAGGUUAAUACCCCACUGUUCUGACGGUACCCGAAGAAUAAGCACCGGCUAACUUCGUG